rnacentral:lncRNA from 1 species
GUAUAAAUACAAUUUAGAAUUAUCUAAAAUUUGAAUUAUAAAUUAAAUAUUAUAUCGAAAAGAGUUUAUUUACAAAUAUAGUUUAGCUUACAGGUAAAUAACAUGUUUUAUAGUUUAAAGAUCAAAAGAUAUAAGAGUAAAACAUAAAAAUGACUUAAAUCUAGCCGCGCAAAUGCGCGGGCCAAACUGCUAGUUAACUUUAAAUUUAAGAUUAAAAAUUUAAAUUUUAAAAGCAAAAGCAAAAGAGAAAAGAUAUGAGCCCUGGUUUUUGUCUGUAAUACCUCGGUUAUCAACAAAUCCGCUGAAGAAAGGCUGGCCGUUUUGAGCCUCAUGAUCAAAUAGUUGUGUUAGAUUCGAUGACAAGAAUGAUAAACCAAGAAAUUAACGGUGUAUUGAAUAGCAAAUCCCACAGAAAAAACGGAGAUUGCUAAAAUGUACCCGAAGUCAGAGAUAUUUACAGGUGUUGAUAUUAACGUGCCCGAAGUAAACGUACAAAGAUUUUUACAAGCAAAGGGACGGCGAACACCAACGCGAGGCCGGGG